rnacentral:rRNA from 1 species
AUUGAACGCUGGCGGCAUGCUUUACACAUGCAAGUCGAACGGUAACAGGCCUUCUGGUGCUGACGAGUGGCUAACGGUUGCGUAAUUCAUCGGAACGUGCCCAGAGGUUGGGUAUAACGCAUCUAAAGCUGUUCUAAUACCUCAUGUGAUCUGAGUAUUAAAGCGUUGUACCAGGCAGCAAUGUUUGGCCUCUCGCCUUUGUUCCUGCCGAUGUCAGAUUAGGUAGUUGGUUGGGUAAAGGCCUACCAAGCCGACGAUCUGUAGCUGGUCUGAGAGGACGAGCAGCAACACGGGGAGUGAGACACGGACCAGAAUCCUAAGGGAGGCAGCAGUGGGGAAUGUUGGACAAUGGGCGAAAGCAUGAUAGAGCAAUGCCGCGUGAGGGAAGAAGGACUUAGGGUUGUAAAACGAUUUUGUAAGGAAAGAAAAGGAGAUGGAUAAUAAAUGGGGAUGAUGACGGUAACGUAAGAAUAAGCAACGGCUAACUACGUG